AAGAAAAUGGCGAAACUGAGUAUCUUUUUCGUGGGGUUUAUGCUGUUGCAUUGCUGCGUAGCCAUGAACGAGGCAAAGUACGUGAAAUAUAAAGAUCCAAAACAACCUUUGAACGUUCGAAUUAAGGAUCUUAUGGACAGAAUGACUUUAGAAGAGAAAAUUGGUCAAAUGACACAGAUUGAACGUAAGGUUGCUUCCGCAGAAACUAUGAAGAAGUAUUAUAUUGGGAGUGUGCUGAGUGGGGGUGGCAGUGUUCCAAAGCCACAAGCUUCUGCAUAUGAUUGGAUUGAAAUGGUGAAUGAUUUUCAAAAGGGUUCUUUAUCAACUAGAUUGGGGAUUCCUAUGAUAUAUGGGAUUGAUGCUGUUCA
rnacentral:sRNA from 1 species